rnacentral:rRNA from 1 species
AUAGUAGUGUCAGAGUUUGAUCCUGGCUCAGGAUGAACGCUGGCGGCGUGCCUAACACAUGCAAGUCGAACGGGGUUAUAUGUCAGAAGUUUUCGGAUGGAAGAUAUGUAACCUAGUGGCGGACGGGUGAGUAACGCGUGAGUAACCUGCCUCAUAGCGGGGGAUAACAGAGAGAAAUCACUGCUAAUACCGCAUAAGCACACGAGGUCGCAUGGCCUAGGGUGAAAAGAUUUAUCACUAUGAGAUGGACUCGCGUCUGAUUAGCUAGUUGGCGGGGUAAAGGCCCACCAAGGCGACGAUCAGUAGCCGAUCUGAGAGGAUGGACGGCCACAUUGGGACUGAGACACGGCCCAG